GUAGUAUUGCUCUUGCUGAUGAUGAGGAUGGUAGCAGCAUCUUCAGAGCGUUAUAGCUAUGCUUCCGAAGGGGAUAAAGCUUGGCGUGAGUGGCUGCUGUGGUCUAAGUACUGUUAGGCCGUGCACUGGAAAAGAAAUAAGCAGAGUCUGGGGAUGAGAUUUAUAUCCCAGUGCUUUUCAGACAGUAAUUUCCUGUUAAAAUGAGAAGGGAACUUCCUUGGAAUGUAAGUUUUGUAUGUGGGUUCUUAUAUCACCUGCCGAAAACACCUGGUGCUUUCCACUAAGGGUGUCUAGGCUGGAUACUAGGUGAGAUGGUUCACUUGCUGAUUUCUGGUAGGGGCACUCUUUGUAACAGAAGAUCAAUGGACAACUUCCUACCAUUAACUAAAUUAAUCUUUCUUCUCUUCCCCUUUCUCCUCAUCUCACCACGAAAGGAAGAAUCUCUGUUAAACGGAAUGUGGCAAAUUAUUAAGGCUGUCUAUAUGAAAGAUGUAAAGCUAUCUGUGGUGGACAAAGAGGACUUCUUAGCUAAUAAAUUAGAGUAAGAGCUUCAAAAAGGAUUGCACUGUCAUUGUAACGUCAAUUAAUUUCUUCCAAUAUCAUUAACUUUUGAUUAUUGUUUUACUCUUUAUUUAAUGUAUACUUUAUUUCUUAAAUUUUUCUGUCUAUGUGAAGGCCACAGAUGGAAAUAUAUAUACUAAUUAUUUUGUCUCUUGAGGUAUCAAGAGGGAAGGUAUUUCUCCAUAUUGUAACUGUCAGGGUCAGCUGGGGAUAAUUAGCCACCAGCUGCUCUGGAAGUAUACAUGGUUAUACAUGGUUAUACAUGUUCCCCAUCUACCAAAAGUCUUUUGCACUGAAAUAUAUUUUAAAAAAUAAUAAUAAUCUGAACUUAAAUCACACAGAGUGACUUGGCUUACAAUGCUGUAGACUGGUGCCAUAGUUUAAUGACCCAAACAUUUGAAAAGCAACUACAAAGACUGCCCUGGAACGCAGCUGAUCACCUUCAGCUGCCAUGGCCUAGGUUUAUCAGCUGCAAACAGUAAAAAAAGAGCAACAUUCUCAUAGAGAAAUUGAUAUAUAUUUCUUUUUUCAGGAAGCUCAGUCCAUGAAAAAAGUCUCUUCUCUUUCAGAUGUAUGAACUUCUUUGCAAAGUGAUCUGAGGUAUCACUAGUGAGAUUAGCUAACAGCUGCAAAAUGGAACUGUUUUGCUAUGGAUAGGUGAUAACAGAAAAUAUUGCAGUCAGUCAGCAUUAUACUCAUUAGUAAGGGGCAAGCAAAUGAAACAGGCUGAAGGUGCUGCUAUUUGGAAAACAACAGCUGCAGAGCUGUUGAUUGUUGGCAAGGAACACAACUGCCAUCCCCAUAUUCAGCAGGAGUGCGAUCCUUGAAACAGAGUGCUUCAAAGCAGGGACAGGGAAUACCGCUGACUGCACAACACCGUGCUAAGGCUCUGGAGAAAGAACCGUGUCCACUCCCCAGCUCUGUCUGCCAAGAGUGACAAUCAGGUAUUGCCAGUUUAAUUUUCUCAUAUUUCAGCCCCCUUCACGUGAAGUGUGAGUGCUCUUUUUGGCUUGCAAGGGUGUUCUGAGAUGUUUUGCUCUCAUGGAGAGGAGACGGAGCACUUACAGAGAGUUUCUUUUGUAGCAAAACAUGAACUUUCUGGUGAAAUGCUGAGAACAACAACCCAAAAUGGUGAAAAUUUCAGAACUGCCAUGCCCUCACAAAACAAAGAGACACCCUGAGACCUCCUGUCCAUAUUUCCAUGUCAAAGUGACAAGCGUGUGCCUGACCCUGUGAUACCGCAAAGUGCCUCUGAAACGGACCCCUCCAACCUGGCACUCGGGACAGUCAGAGGUCUUCAGAAGGAUUUAUCUGCGUGCUCUGGAGGGCAGCGGUGCAGCACGUCGGGUUGGAGGUUCGCGCCGG
ensembl:lncRNA